CGUAGGGUGCGAGCGUUAAUCGGAAUUACUGGGCGUAAAGCGUGCGCAGGCGGUUUUGUAAGACAGGCGUGAAAUCCCCGGGCUCAACCUGGGAACUGCGCUUGUGACUGCAAGGCUAGAGUACGGCAGAGGGGGGUGGAAUUCCACGUGUAGCAGCGAAAUGCGUAGAGAUGUGGAGGAACACCAAUGGCGAAGGCAGCCCCCUGGGUCGAUACUGACGCUCAUGCACGAAAGCGUGGGUAGCAAACAGGAUUAGAUACCCUGGUAGUCCACGCCCUAAACGAUGUCAACUAGGUGUUGGGUGGGUAAAACCAUUUAGUACCGGAGCUAACGCGUGAAGUUGACCGCCUGGGGAGUACGGCCGCAAGGUUA
rnacentral:rRNA from 1 species